CAGGCACAGCAAGGAACCUGGCUGAGAGCAUAGAGAGGGGGGCUAUGAUGAGUUUAGAGUCACAGCUGCUGCCAAUGUUGGUCUGAUUCUAACAUUCAGGUUCAUUUCCGUUCUCCUCAUAGGGAAGGUUUUACAAUGAUUAAAUGAUUGUGUGUUGAGUCGUCUGGCGGCAAGAGGAAGAGGGAAGAAAAUGAUUUGGAAUGGCACUGCAGAAGACGCUUAGAAAUGCAGCUUGAGGCUGGUGAUGCAAGGGAAUGCAGCUUGAGGCCAUUGAAGCUGUUCUAUCACUAGAAGUUGGGAUCCUACUUGGUCUCCCAACGAAUUCUUCAAAAUUCCCAAUGAAUUCAGUGGUAGGGCAGGUGGUAGAAGGCCUGGAUAUUGUCCAGAAGAUUGCGAGUACCAGGGUGGUCAAAGAUAACACAAGCAAUCUUUACUUCCACAUUGCCAAGCUUAUAGGCGAUACCUGAGCAGUGGUCACUGAGAGGGGAUUCAAUCAACCAUACACAAAGAUUGUCAUUUCGCAGUGUGGCAUUCUUAGUACUUACUCUUGCAAAGUUCUUUCUUUCCUUUCAAUCUAACUCUGAUCCAUUUGUGUUUCUAUUGCCAGACAACUAAUACAAACAGCUUCAUGUGAA